rnacentral:rRNA from 1 species
AUUGAACGCUGGCGGCAGGCCUAACACAUGCAAGUCGAGCGGAGCGGCGGAGGGGGGAGUAAUGCCUAGGAAUCUGCAUGGGAGUGGGGGAUAACGUCCGGAAACGGGCGCUAAUACCGCAAACUAUCGGAUGAGCCUAGGUCGGAUUAGCUAGAGGGGGGGGUAAAGGCCUACCAAGGCGACGAUCCGUAACUGGUCUGAGAGGAUGAUCAGUCACACUGGAACUGAGACACGGUCCAGACUCCUACGGGAGGCAGCAGUGGGUAAUAUUGGACAAUGGGCGAAAGCCUGAUGCAGCCAUGCCGCGUGUGUGAAGAAGGUCUUCGGGUUGUAAAGCACUUUAAGUUGGGAGGCGUUACCAACAGAAUAAGCACCGGCUAACUCCGUGCCAGCAGCCGCGGUAAUAC